AUGCCGACCUGCGUGCGCGACCAUGCCGGCCUCUCCUUCCUCCUCGCCUGCGUCGCUGCCUUCCCCCUCGUCCGCCUCGGAGCCGACCUCCACCACCAGAAGCUGGAGGCUUCUUCCCUGUCACGAGCCUCGUCACCGGAGUGGCUCGCCAUGACGCCCUCACGGCGAGCUUCCCGCGUCCACCGCCUCCCUGCAUACAAGCACCCUACGCCGCCACUCAUCGACCUCCUCUAUUCCAGUCGUGGACAGCCCCUGCCCGAGACCCACCUUCAGCCUCGCCUUGUUUUCCUUGACCUCUUCCCACACGUGACCGAGAUGCCCUGCCUCUUUCGACCACCACCGUCGCCUCACUGUUGCUGCUGCCCUCUGCUGCUCUCCCUUGAGCGCGCCCGCUCCAUCGCCUCCUUGCUGCUGCCCAACCGAGGCCUUGUGAUGCUUCGUUUCGAAACAGAAGACCAUCAAGACCGGCAAGACCCGGACUCCGAAGCCAAGUACUACUACAAACCCGAAGAAUUCGGAUGCAUCAAGUCUCCAAGGAGACCCAUUUUUCGUCAAGUUCGACUACCCGUAUCAUCAAGUACCACUACGGCUGGAGACCUCGGACACGCCAAGUACCCCUUCGAGCUAUCAAUACCGCAAGCGCCAAGUUCCACGACGACCCAAGUACCGCGAGAACGUUUGUACCUCUACCAUCGCCGUGGAUCCGACAAGUACCCCUACAACAAGUGUACCUCUACCAUCGUCUUCGGAAUCGCUAAGAACGUCAAGCACCCCUUCGAGAUGACAAGACCGACAAGUUUAAAUGACCCCAAAUACCUCUCCAAAAAUGAGACGUAUACCGCUACCGUCGCAAGAAUCGAGACCGACAAGUCUGAAGAUGCAAGUACCACUCUGAACCAUGUACGACGACCGUCGCCGAAGACCCGUGUAAUGCAAAUGUCAAGUUCAACUACCGUUGCAUGA
rnacentral:rRNA from 1 species